rnacentral:rRNA from 1 species
AUUGAACGCUGGCGGCAGGCCUAACACAUGCAAGUCGAGCGGAUGAAGGGAGCUUGCUACUGGAUUCAGCGGCGGACGGUUGUGUAAUGCCUAGAAAUCUGCCUGGUAGUGGGGGAUAACGUUCGGUAACGGGAGCUCAUACCGCAUACGUAUUGAGGGAGAUAGCGGGGGAUCAUCGGACCUCACGCCUAUAGAUUAGCCUACGUCGGAUUUGCUAGGUGGUGGGGUAAAGGCCUACUAAGGCGACGAUCCGUAACUGGUCCGAGAGAAGGAUCAGACACACUGGAACUGGGACACGGUCCAAACUCCGACGGGAGGCAGCAGUGGGGAAUAUUGGACAAUGGGCAGAAGCCUGAUCCAGCCAUGCCGCGUGUGUGAAGAAGAUCUUCGGAUUGUAAAGCACGUUAAGUUGGGAGGAAGAGCAGUAAGUUAUAACCUAGCUGUUUUGACGUUACCAACAGAAUAAGCGCCGGCUAACUUCGUG